GACGAACGCUGGCGGCGUGCUUAACACAUGCAAGUCGAGCGGUAAGGCCCUUUCGGGGGUACACGAGCGGCGAACGGGUGAGUAACACGUGGGUGACCUGCCCUCAGCUCUGGGAUAAGCCUGGGAAACCGGGUCUAAUACUGGAUAUGACUCCAUGACGCAUGUUGUGGGGUGGAAAGCCUUGUGCGGCUGAGGAUGGGGCCCGCGGCCUAUCAGCUUGUUGGUGGGGUGANGGCCUACCAAGGCGACGACGGGUAGCCGGCCUGAGAGGGCGACCGGCCACACUGGGACUGAGACACGGCCCAGACUCCUACGGGAGGCAGCAGU
rnacentral:rRNA from 1 species